rnacentral:misc_RNA from 1 species
GUUUGCUCUAAAAGCAAAGCUUUCUCUUUCUUAUAAAAGUGGCAUCUAUGAAUAAUGGGUCACUAUUUACUAACGUUGGUUUUCCUUUUUUUUUUUAAUAAAAAAUAAUAUAUCCCAUACCCAUCCCAUCCCUGGCAACCUGACAGUAUAUGCUCUCUUUUCUGCAUACCAAUUAUCAUUGUGUGUGUGUGUGUACCAUUUUCUGUUCUUCCUUUUCAUGGAUUACUGAUUGUGCAUUCUUUCAUUUUACAACCAAAAACAGAAUCCCAACGCUUCCUCCUCAACACACAUUAACAUUUGGGAAAAUUUGAUGAUGGCUACUUCACUCUGUUGCCGUCGUAGCAGUCGGUGGUUUUGCAUCUUCAAUCUUUUGUUGCUUUCUGUUUUUGUGGGACAAUUUGGAUUUUGCUAUUCUUCUAAGGCUUAUGUUGUUUAUAUGGGAAGCGUAAGUACUCAAGACCACCCAGACCACAUUCUCACCCAAAACCACCAAAUACUCGCCGCUGUUCACGGUGGAAGCAUUGAACAAGCGCGUGCCUCUUACCUUUAUAGCUACAGACAUGGCUUCAGGGGCUUUGCUGCCAAGUUAACGGACAAACAAGCUUCCCAGAUUGCUAGUAACUGGCUCAUAUAGUUCUUCUUAUUCUUUUUUAAUAAUUAUGGAGUGUUUGUUAAAUUUACAAUAAACGCAUAAAUUUUUUUUGCAACAGAGAUGCCUGGAGUGGUCUCUGUGUUUCCCAAUUUGAAAAGAAGGCUACACACCACUCACUCUUGGGAUUUCAUGGGUCUUGUGGGUGAAGAAACCAUGGAGAUUCCAGGACACUCUACCAAGAACCAAGUUAACAUUAUUAUUGGUUUCAUAGACACAGGUGAGAACGCUCUUUUUACUCUCCAAUUGCUUCUUCUGCUAUCUAUUUCUCAAUUGAAUGCCCAUCAUACAUGCAUCUUUCCAUCAAAUGCCAACUUUCGACUUGUUAGUGAUUGGAAUCCUUGAAAUUCCAUCCUUGCCUUAUUAAAUGCAAUAUGAUGCGAUGCAUCAUGUGCGCUUCAAAGGAUGAAAAAGUUUCAAAAAAAAGUAUGUUCUCUCUAAUCAUCAUCUGAAUCAGGAAUUUGGCCUGAAUCUCCUAGUUUUACCGAUGACGACAUGCCCCCAGUGCCAGCCAGAUGGAAGGGACAGUGCCAAUCAGGAGAAGCGUUCAACGCUUCAUAUUGCAACAGGAAAGUGGUUGGAGCAAGAUACUAUAUGAGUGGCUAUGAAGCUGAAGAAGAUUCAACCGAAAUAAAGUCAUUUAGAUCUCCAAGGGACAGCUCUGGUCAUGGUAGCCACACAGCGUCAAUUGCUGCUGGUCGUUAUGUGUCAAAUAUGAAUUACAAGGGGUUGGCAACUGGGGGAGCUAGAGGUGGUGCACCAAUGGCCAGAAUUGCAGUGUACAAAACUUGUUGGGACUCGGGUUGCUAUGAUGUUGAUUUACUUGCUGCCUUUGAUGAUGCAAUUAGAGACGGGGUUCAUAUCUUAUCUUUGUCUCUGGGUCCAGAUGCCCCACAGGGAGAUUAUUUCAAUGAUGCCAUCUCUAUUGGGUCAUUUCAUGCUGCUACUCGUGGAGUGUUAGUAGUUGCUUCAGCUGGAAAUGAAGGAAACGAAGGUUCUGCAACAAAUCUCGCCCCAUGGAUGAUUACAGUUGCUGCCAGUUCAACAGAUAGGGACUUUGCAUCUGAUAUCAUAUUAGGAAAUACUGCUAAUUUUUCGGGUGAAAGUCUCAGUCUCUUUGAAAUGAAUGCUUCUGCAAGAAUCAUCUCUGCCUCUGAAGCCUAUGCCGGAUACUUCACUCCUUAUCAAUCCAGGUGAAGCAACAGUUAUUGCUUAGAGAGUUCCUUGAAUAGUACUAAAGCCAGAGGGAAAGUCCUUGUCUGUCGACAUGCUGAAAGUUCAACAGAAUCAAAGCUGGCAAAGGGUACAACAGUCAAAGAAGCUGGUGGAGUUGGGAUGGUCCUUAUUGAUGAGGCAGAUCAAGAUGUUGCCAUUCCCUUUACAAUUCCCUCUGCUAUUGUUGGAAGAGUGAUGGGGAACAAGAUUCUAUCUUAUAUUAAUGGCACACGAAAAGCAAUAGCAAAAAUAUCCCGAGCAAAGACGGUUUGGGGAUCUCAGCCUGCACCUCGAGUUGCAACAUUUUCUUCAAAAGGACCCAAUGCUUUAACCCCUGAAAUUUUGAAGCCUGAUGUCACAGCUCCUGGACUUAACAUCCUUGCAGCAUGGUCUCCAGCAGUUGGGAAAAUGCAUUUCAACAUUCUUUCUGGAACUUCCAUGGCCUGCCCACAUGUAACAGGAAUUGCAGCCUUGAUCAAAGCAGUUAAUCCUUCUUGGUCUACAUCUGCCAUCAAAUCUGCAAUCAUGACUACUGGUAAGUUCCCAUGUCGCUGACUACUCUCAUAAUUUUAAGAGAUGCUCAAAGGGAUUACAACUGAAUGGAUUUUUGUGCGUGCUUAUACUGUUGAAAUGCUCCCAAUAUUCUUGGAUUUGGUUGAGCAAACAGCUUGGCUUGCGUUGCCCUCUCUUUGGCUUCAUAUGGUGCUCAACCUUGAGCCAUCAACCCAUUUAUCCAGUCUUUAUUCUCUUAAAUAGAAUUCCAGAGCUUUGCUCUCCGUGAGAUAGAAUAAGUUACUAAAGUAUAUAUCUUUUGUUCAAGAACCUUCUAAUAAAAUAUUGAUUACUGAUGGAAAUUGCAGCCACUAUCCUCGAUAAAAAUCUCAAACCCAUUACAGUGGAUCCUAGUGGAAGAAGGGGUAAUGCAUUUGAUUAUGGAUCAGGUUUUAUUGACCCAACAAGGGUCCUUGAUCCCGGUCUCGUCUAUGAUGCACAGCCAACAGAUUAUAAAGCUUUUCUCUGUUCAAUUGGUUAUGAUGAGAGAUCACUGCAUUUGGUUACGAGAGACAAUAGCUCAUGUAAUCAGACUUUGACAACAGCUUCCAGCCUCAAUUAUCCUUCUAUCACCGUCCCGAAUCUUAAAGACAACUUCUCUGUAACUCGAACAGUGACGAAUGUUGGCAAACCGAGAAGCAUUUAUAAAGCUGUAGUUUCUAAUCCUGUUGGAAUCAAUGUCACUGUUGUGCCAAAGCGACUCAUCUUCAACAGCUAUGGCCAGAAGAUUAAAUUCACUAUGAAUUUCAAGGUGGCAGCUCCAUCAAAGGGCUAUACAUUCGGGUUUUUGACCUGGAGAAAUAGAAAUACAAGGGUCACUAGCCCAAUAGUUGUUCGGGUUGCAUCUUCCAGUAUGGGGUUG